UGCAAGAGAAGGUUGGAUCCAGGGGGAUGCCUCGAGCUGGCGAGUUCCUUCUCCUCCUCCUGCGUUUCUCUCCCUCCCUCCCUCUCUCUUUUCUGUACUGUGUUGGCCAACACACACUCUCUUUCCCUCUGUCUGUGUCCUUGCCUCUCCCUGUGCUUUCUCCCUUUAUAGGACACGGGUAGGUGUGGAUCCCCACAGGCUAGGUCUCGGGAGCCAGGAAGAAGUAGGAGGGGAUGAAAAUUAUGUGGGGUCGUGGGUGCGAGAGUGGAGGCAGGUAUUGUAAAAUAUCUAGCACGGUAGCAUGUUGGACAGUGAUGGCUCUUCCAUAGGUGGUUUGCUGUUCUUGCAGAGGCCCGCUCAAGGCCAAUGGAGCCGCCCCAGACAGAGGAGAAGCAUCUGGAGGAACCAGACCUGCACAAUCUAGAUGUUUUUCACUUGGCAGUGGAGCUAAGGAGUGCUCUCGUGAUAUUCGAGGAGCAGGUACGGAUGCCCAGUUAGCUACGGCUCGGUGUGUAACAAAAUGAGCUGUGGAUAUGUGGGAGACAAGGUCCCCAUUUUCAGCAUCAGCUCAUUUCUCUGUUCACAAGCGGUGUCUCCUCUGCAGAAAAGCUUGGAUCCAGGAGGAUGAUUCCAGCUGCGCUGGUACAGGAAUUGUCCAGGAACCCUACCCGGAGGAGAGACUCUCAGAAGUGAACCUGAUCAGCCUGAACAUUCUUCUAAGCAGACAUGAGCAGUCCUCAGCUUUCUCCCUCCUGCAUAAAUGGCUAAAAAGAAGUCAUUUGCCAGUCUACUGCCCUCAUGUGAUGGAAAGCGAGCGAGAGCGAUGAGACCCGUGAGCAUGUUGAUGCCACGCAAAAGCCGUCCAUCUGGCAGCAGAAGAGCCGUCGCUGUCAGUGAGAUAAGUGUCUGUUUUGGUGAGGGCUCUGCUCAUGGCCCACGUUGAUGCUGGUAGGGAUGCCCCGUUAGCUAGGGCUGGGUUUGUAAGAAAAGGUUCCUGACUAGCUGUGGUUGUAAGAGAGACAAGGUUCCCAAUUUCAGGGGCUGAUGAUUCCUCUGGUCAGGAGCAGUGUGACCUACGCAGCAGAAGGUAGCAUCUAGAGGAUGACUCCAGGUGUCGAGUUACUUGCCUUCCUCCCAUGUUUCUCUGUCUUCUCUAUUGUGUUGGCCAACACUCUCGCUCUUUCAUUCUCCCUUCCUUGCCUUUCUUGGUGCCGUCUCCCUACGUAGGUCGCGGGAAAAGGGUGCUAGGUGUGUAUCCGCACAGUCUACGUCUUUGGGACCCAUGAAAAAUUAGGAGGGUAUGAAAAUCAUGGAUAUUAGUGGGUGCCACAGUGGAGCAGUGCCUGUGGGUGUUGACUUGGUCUUUAAUCAUCGCCUGGGGCUGAUGUAGACCAAAUGAG